CACCAAGAUUUUAAAAAAUUCAACUGCCACGUAUAUAGCUGGACAGAACCAAGGUAAUGUGGUUUGCCGUAGCUUGGAGAUACCCAAAACUCUUUAUUCA
rnacentral:lncRNA from 1 species